CCUACGGGCGGCAGCAGUGAGGAAUAUUGGUCAAUGGGCGGAAGCCUGAACCAGCCAAGUAGCGUGCGGGAUGAAGGCCCUACGGGUCGUAAACCGCUUUUGCACGGGGAUAACACCCUCCACUUGCUGAGGUCUGCAGGUACCGUGCGAAUAAGGGCCGGCUAAUUCCGUGCCGGCAGCCGCGGUAAUUCGGAAGGCCCGAGCGUUAUCCGGAUUCAUUGGGCUUAAAGGGAGCGUAGGCGGGCGUUCAAGUCAGCUGUAAAAUCGCGCGGGUCAACUGCGCCCCGCGAUUGAAACUGGGCGUCUUGAGUGCACAACAGGCAGGCGGAAUGCGUGGUGUAGCGGUGAAAUGCGUAGAUAUCACGAGGAACCCCGAUUGCGAAGGCAGCCUGCCGGGGUGCGACUGACGCUGAGGCUCGAAGGUGCGGGUAUCAAACAGGAUUAGAUACCCUUGUAGUC
rnacentral:rRNA from 1 species